rnacentral:rRNA from 1 species
ACGGGAGGCAGCAGUGGGGAAUAUUGGGCAAUGGGCGAAAGCCUGACCCAGCAACGCCGCGUGAAGGAAGAAGGCCUUCGGGUUGUAAACUUCUUUUAUGUGGGAAGAUAAUGACGGUACCACAUGAAUAAGCCACGGCUAACUACGUGCCAGCAGCCGCGGUAAUACGUAGGUGGCGAGCGUUGUCCGGAUUUACUGGGUGUAAAGGGCGCGUAGGCGGGAUGGCAAGUCAGAUGUGAAAUCCAGGGGCUCAACCCUUGAACUGCAUUUGAAACUGUCGUUCUUGAGUAUCGGAGAGGCAAGCGGAAUUCCUAGUGUAGCGGUGAAAUGCGUAGAUAUUAGGAGGAACACCAGUGGCGAAGGCGGCUUGCUGGACGACAACUGACGCUGAGGCGCGAAAGCGUGGGGAGCAAACAGGAUUAGAUACCCUGGUA